rnacentral:tRNA from 1 species
GCCACAGUGGUGGAAUGGGAGACACUCCAGUUUUAGGAACUGGUGCCCGAAAGGGCGUGUAGGUUCGACCCCUACCUGUGGUACAA